UACGAAGGGGGCAAGCGUUGUUCGGAAUUACUGGGCGUAAAGGGCUCGUAGGCGGCCAACUAAGUCGGACGUGAAAUCCCCAGGCUCAACCUGGGAACUGCGUCUGAUACUGGAUGGCUUGAAUCCGGGAGAGGGAUGCAGAAUUCCAGGUGUAGCGGUGAAAUGCGUAGAUAUCAGGAGGAACACCGGUGGCGAAGGCGGUUCUCUGGGCAUGUCCUGACGCUGAGGAGCGAAAGUGUGGGGAGCGAACAGG
rnacentral:rRNA from 1 species